GAUGAACGCUGGCAGCGUGCCUAAUACAUGCAAGUCGAGCGAACGGACGAGAAGCUUGCUUCUCUGAUGUUAGCGGCGGACGGGUGAGUAACACGUGGAUAACCUACCUAUAAGACUGGGAUAACUUCGGGAAACCGGAGCUAAUACCGGAUAAUAUUUUGAACCGCAUGGUUCAAAAGUGAAAGGCGGUCUUGCUGUCACUUAUAGAUGGAUCCGCGCUGCAUUAGCUAGUUGGUAAGGUAACGGCUUACCAAGGCAACGAUGCAUAGCCGACCUGAGAGGGUGAUCGGCCACACUGGAACUGAGACACGGUCCAGACUCCUACGGGAGGCAGCAGUAGGGAAUCUUCCGCAAUGGGCGAAAGCCUGACGGAGCAACGCCGCGUGAGUGAUGAAGGUCUUCGGAUCGUAAAACUCUGUUAUUAGGGAAGAACAUAUGUGUAAGUAACUGUGCACAUCUUGACGGUACCUAAUCAGAAAGCCACGGCUAACUACGUG
rnacentral:rRNA from 1 species